AUUAUGCUGACAUGAGUAACGAUAAAAUAUGUGAAAAACAUAUUCGCCGUAAAUCCAAGGUUUCCUGGGUAAAGGUAAUCUUCCCAGGGUUAGUCGGACCCUAAGGCCAGGCUGAAAGGCGUAGCUGAUGGGAAACGGGUUAAUAAUCCUGUACUUGUGCGAUUGUGCGAAGAAGGGACGCAGGAUGGUAGACAGGCCGGUUUUUGGAAUCCGGUGCAAGUGCGUAGGCGUGCUCCGCAGGCAAAUCCGCGGAGAUGAGCCGAGACACGAGUCCGUGGGCGUAAGCCCUGAAGCUGUUGAGCCACGGCUGCCAAGAAAAGCUUCUAAGUUUAGAUCGCGCGAACCGUACCGCAAACCAACUCAGGUGGAUGGGAUGAAUAAUCCAAGGCGCUCGAGAGAACUCUGGCCAAGGAACUCGGCAAAUUGACCCCGUACCUUCGGAAUAAGGGGUGCUCCCCAUGGUGAGACAAAUACUUGUUCAGCCUCAGGGAGCCGCAGAGAAAUGGUGGUGGCGACUGUUUACUAAAAACAUAGGUCUGUGCGAAGUCCUACAGACGACGUAUACGGACUGACGCCUGCCCGGUGCCGGAAGGUUAAAAGGAGGAGUCAGCGCAAGCGAAGCUCCGAUUUGAAGCCCCGGUAAACGGCGGCCGUAACUAUAACGGUCCUAAGGUAGCGAAAUUCCUUGUCGGGCAAGUUCCGACCUGCACGAAUGGCGUAACGAUCUCCACGCUGUCUCGGCCAGAGACUCGGUGAAAUUGAAGUCGCGGUGAAAAUGCCGUGUACCCGCAGAAAGACGGAAAGACCCUGUGCACCUUUACUAUAGCUUGACAUUGGGUUUUGAACCUGCAUGUGUAGGAUAGGUGGGAGGCUGUGAAAGCUGUACGCCAGUAUGGCCGGAGCCACCCGUGAAAUACCACCCUUGUUUGUUCAGGACCCUAACUCGCAGCUGUAAUCCAGCGCGAAGACAGUGUCUGGUGGGUAGUUUGACUGGGGCGGUCGCCUCCUAAAGAGUAACGGAGGCAUGCAAAGGUUCCCUCAGGCUGAUUGGAAACCAGCCGUUGAGUGCAAGCGCAUAAGGGAGCUUGACUGCAAGAGAGACAUCUCGAACAGAUACGAAAGUAGGUGCUAGUGAUCCGGUGGUCCCGAAUGGAAGGGCCAUCGCUCAUUGGAUAAAAGGUACGCCGGGGAUAACAGGCUGAUCGCAUCCAAGAGUUCACAUCGACGAUGCGGUUUGGCACCUCGAUGUCGGCUCAUCACAUCCUGGGGCUGAAGCAGGUCCCAAGGGUACGGCUGUUCGCCGUUUAAAGUGGUACGCGAGCUGGGUUUAAAACGUCGUGAGACAGUUUGGUCCCUAUCUUCUGUGGGCGUAGGAGAAUUGAGAGGGUUUGUCCCUAGUACGAGAGGACCGGGAUGAACGCACCACUGGUGGAUCAGUUGUCGCGCCAGCGGCAUAGCUGAGUAGCUAUGUGCGGAAUGGAUAACCGCUGAAAGCAUCUAAGCGGGAAGCCAGCCUCGAGAUAAGUUCUCCCUGUCGCAAGACACUAAAGGGCCGAUGCAGACUACAUCGUUGAUAGGCCGGAGGUGGAAGCGCUGCGAAGCGUGGAGCUGACCGGUACUAAUAGCCCGUGCGCCUUAUAU
rnacentral:rRNA from 1 species